AUAUAUUCUUUGAAUCUUUUCAUUUGCGAUUAUAAUUAUAAAGGAGUGCCUCCUUCCUCAAGAGAACCACUGAAGUAUAGCCGAGCGAGGCAACAACUUAAUCAUAAACAUCCUAAAUAAUUUAUUAAUCUAACAGAGGUAUAAGUUUCAUCUUUUAUGUAUAUAACCUGCUAUCUUGCAGUUGUUGAGCCCAAAAAAACAAUCAAACCAAGUAUGACCCCUGUUGCAUCUAAGCAGUAUGCAGAUGAUGUAAGCCUACUAAUGGUGUUGAUCGAUACAAAUCCAUUAUUCUGGAGUUCAACUGCUGCACCUUUCUCAAUCUCCAAGUUCCUAUCUCAAUUCCUUCCGUUCCUGAACUCAAUUCUUCUACUAAGUCAACUGAAUCAAGUGGUGGUGAUAGCUACUGGCCUCAACUCUUGUGAUUACAUUUAUGAUUCUUCACUGGGACACACAAAUCAGAGAGCUGAGACAUUGCUGAAGAAAUUGGACGAGUUUUUGUUUAAAGAUGAAAAGCUUAAUAAGGAUGAUUCAGCGGAUGGGAUCGGGUCGUCAUUGCUCUCAGGAUCUCUUUCAAUGGCACUCUGUUACAUACAACGGGUAUUUCGUUCUGGCUCACUUCAUCCACAACCCCGGAUUAUGUGUUUGCAUGGAUCGCAAGAUGGACCUGGACAAUAUGUUGCCAUCAUGAAUUCAAUUUUUUCUGCUCAGAGAUUAAUGGUGCCAAUAGAUUCUUGUGUUAUUGGGUCACAGCAUUCUGCAUUCCUGCAACAGGCUUCUUAUAUAACCGGAGGUGUGUAUCUGAAGCCACAACACCUGGAUGGACUGUUUCAGUAUCUAACAACGGUAUUUGCAACAGAUUUGCAUUCACGUAGCUUCUUGCAACUCCCUAAGCCUGUUGGUGUGGAUUUCCGUGCUUCGUGUUUUUGUCACAAAAACACUAUAGACAUGGGGUACAUUUGCUCUGUUUGUCUGUCUAUUUUCUGCAAGCAUCACAAGAAAUGUUCAACUUGUGGGUCAGAUUUUGGUCAACCCCAAACAAGUGUCUCGACAUCAAAUCAGAAAAGAAAGGCUCCUGACAGUUGACACUGAUGUUUAUGGUUUCAGUUUAUUGUUCUUGUGGCGUUAAUCACCAGCCAUUUGGGUUGUGAUUUGCAUGGGGUCUGAGGUUUAGUUAGUUUCUUGCCAUAGGAAAAACAUGUGAGCAAUCUACAUAUUUUGUCAUAAACACCUUUUAUCCCUCAUUGGUAAAGGUUGAGAAGUUUGAUCCACUUUGGAUUUUGGUAUAGAGAAGAACCGGAAUCAGUCCAUCUGUUUGAAAAUGGAAUCAGGCAGGGAUGCAAAAAUGUGUUUCUUUUCCAGCUUCUUAAUCUGGAAAUGGGCUAAGCAAACAUCUGGUUGAAUAUUAAACCUUACAUCUGAAACCAUGACCACUUUUUUGGGAAUAACACAAGUGAUAUGCAUAUCACAAAUAUUGUAUUUGAUAUACUUAUCACACAUUUUGUGGUAAAUAAAUAAAAAGU